AGCUGCAGCGAGCAGCAAGUGAGUGAGGCAAUCUGAGCUCAGCCAGCCCCCAGCAGAUCUGCCUACUCACUGCAGAUGCUUAUGUGAACGCAGCAGGCACCACAUGGAGCAGACAGACACCAUCCCAGCUGAGCCCUACCCUGAUUGCCCAUCUAUAGAAUUGUAAACCUUCAAGGCAGCAGUCACCAGCUAUGGCCUCUUGGGUUUCGAGGAUGCUUCCUAGGAAUGUCCAUUCCUUGGCUCCAUCAUCAGAGAACCAGCGAGUUGAGGAUUGUCAUCAUCACCACGAGGCUUAUGGAUGCUUCUUGCCCAUCCAGACCAGGUGGCAGGACAAUGACCAGUAUGGCCACGUGAACAAUGCCGUGUACUGCAGCUACUUCAGCACUGUUACCAACCACUACCUGAUCAGGAAGUCGGCAUGGAAGACAGGAUGUAAACUUCGGCCACAGAGAGCCUGGAUUUGGGGCCCGGCCCACCGCUGACUGCGCAC